rnacentral:rRNA from 1 species
AGAGUUUGAUCUUGGCUCAGGAUGAACGCCGGCGGUGUGCCUAAUACAUGCAAGUCGAACGCGUUGGCCCAACUGAUUGAACGUGCUUGCACGGACUUGACGUUGGUUUACCAGCGAGUGGCGGACGGGUGAGUAACACGUAGGUAACCUGCCCCAAAGCGGGGGAUAACAUUUGGAAACAGAUGCUAAUACCGCAUAACAAUUUGAAUCGCAUGAUUCAAAUUUAAAAGAUGGCUUCGGCUAUCACUUUGGGAUGGACCUGCGGCGCAUUAGCUUGUUGGUAGGGUAACGGCCUACCAAGGCUGUGAUGCGUAGCCGAGUUGAGAGACUGAUCGGCCACAAUGGAACUGAGACACGGUCCAUACUCCUACGGGAGGCAGCAGUAGGGAAUCUUCCACAAUGGGCGCAAGCCUGAUGGAGCAACACCGCGUGAGUGAAGAAGGGUUUCGGCUCGUAAAGCUCUGUUGUUAGAGAAGAACGUGCGUGAGAGCAACUGUUCACGCAGUGACGGUAUCUAACCAGAACGUCACGGCUAACUACGUGCCAGCAGCCGCGGUAAUACGUAGGUGGCAAGCGUUAUCCGGAUUUAUUGGGCGUAAAGCGAGCGCAGGCGGUUUGAUAAGUCUGAUGUGAAAGCCUUUGGCUUAACCAAAGAAGUGCAUCGGAAACUGUCAGACUUGAGUGCAGAAGAGGACAGUGGAACUCCAUGUGUAGCGGUGGAAUGCGUAGAUAUAUGGAAGAACACCAGUGGCGAAGGCGGCUGUCUGGUCUGCAACUGACGCUGAGGCUCGAAAGCAUGGGUAGCGAACAGGAUUAGAUACCCUGGUAGUCCAUGCCGUAAACGAUGAGUGCUAGGUGUUGGAGGGUUUCCGCCCUUCAGUGCCGCAGCU